GGCUCAGAACGAACACUGGCGGCAGUGGGACUCCUACCGGAGGCAGCAGUGGGACUCCUACGGGAGGCAGCAGUGGGGCAGUUGGCUCACAACGAACGCUGGCGGCUGGCUCAGAACAAACGCUGGCGGCUGGCUCAGAACGAACGCUGGCGGCUGGCUCAGAACGAACGCUGGCGGCAGUGGGACUCCUACGGGAGGCAGCAGUGGGACUCCUACGGGAGGCAGCAGUGGGGCAGUUGGCUCACAACGAACGCUGGCGGCUGGCUCAGAACGAACGCUGGCAGCCCCACUCCUACGGGAGGCAGCAGUGGG
rnacentral:misc_RNA from 1 species